UUAUCAUAAUUUAUAUGUCAUAAUAAAUAGUAGAAAAAAUAAAGAACUCUUCUUCUGUUAUGCAAACCAAGGGUAAAUCCUAUUACUGGUUUAAACAGAAGCCAAAUGAAGGAGAUUGCUGCUAUGGUUCUGGGAAAUCUGGCUGGGGCAGGAGACCCUGGGCGAUUCUGCUGCAUCUGUGACUCGGAGAGAGUGGCCAGGAACAAACAUCUGACUGCGAGUACAGGAAAGAGCCCUGCAUUAGACUUCUGGCAUGUGCUGUCCAGUCAGUUUCAAUGAUCUAUGCAAACGUGGGCAUUCUGUCUCCCCAGCUGAAUGUAAUACUUUCUAGGGCUGCUACUCAAGGGCUACCCUCAAUGGGACUGGGGCUGGGGCUGGCCUGGUUGGGCUCUAGCCAAAAGCAGAAGUCAGAGACUGGCUUUGGAACAGUAAAAUCUAAACCAAAGCAUUUCUACCCAAGGGCAAGAAAAUGAUGAGGGCCAGAGAUGUGAGUCAAGACAAAGCCUGCAGGAAAUUACUUGGAUCCCCAAAAAGGGUGUGAAGAUGGCAAUGCGGGCCUGUUAGCAGAGACAAGUAUUCUGAAUUAAUGGAGAUAGAUGAGCAAGAAUACACUCUGAGAUAGAAAAGGAGAUAGGCCCUGUGUUCCACUCAUCUCUGUGUCCCUAUCAUCUUGGACACUGCCUGUCUCAUAGCAAGUGCUCAGCAAGAGUUGAGUAAAUGGACAGUCAUUCCCUUCACCAUCUCAGCGUGUGCUAAACUAUAUCACGUAUGGGUGACUGAGAGAAUGGAAGCUCUGAAUUCUAUUUUGGGAUGCUUCAUUUCCUCCUCGGAGAACCCUUUUUGAAAUAUGCUAACCAGAACCAAGAUUUCCCUUUAUUUUUACUCUCUAAUCAAAGGAAUUUCCCAGGGAGGUGGAAUCCCUCAAUACCAGGAAUCCAGUGCUUGUCAGGGAUCCAGUCCAGGGGACAGUGGAGGGUCUGGGAUUCCCACCUCACUGGCUGCCAAGAGGUCUGGCUGUGCUCCCAGCAAUUCCUGAGCCCCUCCUAUCCUCCCCCAUCUCUCCUCAGAGCUGACUGGACCCCUCCACACAGAAAUCUGCUGCCUGUGAAAUUGUAAAGUGAAGGGAAAGGAAGUGCAAAAAAUAACUUCCCUAGACAAUCAGAGCAGAUUAUUUUAAUGAGGGCUUGGAAAUGGGAAACAAAUGACACCAAAUUAGCCUCACUCCCAUUCAUCAACUAUGUUGGUGCAAGCGCUAAGCCUUCGCCUGAGUCAGCAGUGAAGCUGAGGUGGCUGCCUCUAGUUUCAGGGAGCUCCUCGCAGGAGCCCGACACAUCUUUCACAGAGCUCAGUAGUCUCCAUUCAAUUGUUUCAAGGCUGCUGGGGCUCAGCGCUGCUAACCCUUGUCUGCUUUAAAUUUCCUCUGGAUAGAAGUACGGAGCGCUGAAGGAAAAGAGGGUCCCAGAGCCCACCUGUGGCUCAGGGAAAGGUAAAUGACAGAACCAAGCUACUCCUAUUUCCCAGAGCCCACCUGUGGCUCAGGGAAAGGUAAAUGACAGAAUCAAGCUACUCACAUUUCCCAGACUCUGUCCCUAGACCAGGGAACUUAAUUGUGGGUGAACCACGUUACAACAUAGAACAUAAGCAGUUUGUCUGUAUUUUCCUCUGAGGCACACACCUCUCCUUCAUACCGACCAGUUUUGUCUCCUGGCCAGCCCUGGUUAUUGUCAAUGAGAGGUCAUCGGCUAGGCUGAGGUGGACUGUUGUGCCACAAUUCACAAUGUAGACUUAUAGUAAUAAUAAUGUUUCCACGUGCAGCUGGAGAGGAGAAGCUGAGCUCCUCUGAAACUGGGCCUCCUUGGGUCAGAGUGGUGAACAGAAAAAGACUACAAUAAUUACAUUAAGCAAAAUGAAAUUGUUUCCCCACUGGAAGGAAGGAAAGUCAUUAACUCAGAGGGUCCAGUUAUCAGGGAAAAUGAUAUCACAUCUGCAGUGUGUUUUGGAUUGCAAUUUAACAGGAGAAAUUGGAAGAGAAUUUGAUGUGGGGUGAAAGGUGUUGGAUUGACAGCUCAGGGAAUUGGAAUAUGCUGUUCUCAGUCCACCUCUUGUUCUCUAUCUCUUGGUCUCUGGGUCUCGUCUUACCUACUCUGACAUUCAUUUCUCCCUCUUCACAAGAGACAGUUUGGGACAGAUACUGAUGCAAAUUCAAUCCUUUUCUAUUUCUAAAGCCUUGGAGGUUCUUGGUUUUCAAAUUCAUACCAAUAAUCUAGUUUGGCUUUUAGCUUGCCGGGAAGUCCCAGGGUUUCCUGAACUACUGGGUGCCUGUUUCUGCUACUUUUAGGGUUAUGUCAGAAUAGUUUGGCUAGAAGAGGGGUGAGGUUAGCACAGGAAACAAGGAAGUGUUCAUGACAGAGGAAAAUAACUUUCGGUUAAUCAUUCAGUCAGAAAUUUUUUGCUGAGCACUUACCAUGUGCAGAACACUGGGUUUCAUGUCAUGGAGGACAUAAAUAUGACCUAAACAUCCUCUCAGGAAACUUAAAACCUAGAUGAGCAGAUAGAAUGCACACAUAGAGCAAUCCACAAAUGCCAGGCAGACACUCGUCACAAUCACUGAAGAAACUGUCCUCUUUUUGCUAUCUUUUCACAUCCUCAGCCCAAUCCUAGUCCUUCUAUAUCCAUCCAGGGAAUGAGUCAUCAGUAAGAUUAAUCCAUUUUCACCAUAUGUUUAGAGUUAUAAGAACUUACUGUGGAGAGGUCUACUAAUCUAAAGAUCUACCAAUCACACCCCUUUAGAAUAACUGUUAUCCAGUUUGACAGAUAAAUUGGAACUGAGUUUAUUGACUUAGUACCACAUUCUCAGUCUUUCGUGGCCCAGGGAGUUUUGUUACAUGGCUCCUGAGAAGGGCACUUUUUUUUCUAGCUCUACCACACUGCUUUAGCUAUGUAAUAGGCUAACCUGCUCUAACCUUAAAUACAUGAGAUUAAAUAAGGCAGAAACUUAGUGGGAGGCACAGGGUGGACAGGCAGCUCUGCUCCACAGAGUCACACGGGGACCAAGGCUUGUUGCUCCAGUGUUUCCAUCGUCAACAUGAGGCUUCUAUGUUAGGGUCAAGGUGGCUACUCCAGAUGUCACCACACUCAGUAGUGGAACAGAAAGAAGGAAAGGCAGAGUAGAGGGAAACUUGUUACAUUGUAAAGAUUCAGGUGAUGCAUGCUUCACUUCCACUCACAUAUAUUGUCCAAAACUUAGGAACAUGGCAUAUCUAACUGCAAAGCAGACUGGAAAAUAUGGGGUAUCACAAAAAUUUGUGUUCUCAAGUAAAGGUUUGAGAUUCUAUUACUAAAAAGAAGAAAGAAAGAAGGAAUACUGGGAAAUAAUUAGCUCUGUCUUUCAUUCCUUUCUCUACCAUACUUCCACUAACCAAAUCUUCUAUCUCUAUUACCCUAAGGAAUCAAUCAUAUUCUUUUUUCUAAUUUUCCAUUCUCUUUAGUACUUAACCAAGUAGAAUGUCCCCUGACUCCUAAUGUGUUUGUCUUUGAACCUUAAAACUGUACGGGAGCCCCCCAAAACCCUCUCUAAGCUUUCAUCCUUUAAUCAAGUACUUUUUCUUUUCAUUUUCUGAGUUUACACUGGGAUUUAUGGAGUAUCCUGUCAUGCACUGACACGAAAAGAAACAAAGAAAUCUGGUUUCUGCCUUCAAGGGUCUUCUGUCUCUCACUGUCUUAGUUCAGGCUGCUAUAACAGAGUGCCAUAGACUGGGUGGCUUAAAUAACAAACUUUUUUUUCUCAUAGUUCUGGAGGUUGGAAGUUCAACACUAGGGUUCCAGUAUGGUUGGGUUCUUGUUGAAGUCCUUUUUUCUGGUUUUUACAGAUGGCUGUCUUCUUGUAUCCUUACAUCGUGGAGGGGGGUGCAGCGGGGAGGGAGAGAGAAAGAGAAGAGGAAGCUCUCUAGUGUUUCUUCUUAAAAGGCACUGAUAUCAUUCAGGAGAGCUCAAUCCUCACAUCCUAAUCACCUGGCAGUGGCCCCACCUCCUAACGCCAUCACAUUGAGGUGUGAGAUUUUAACACACUUUUUUUGCGGAGACACAUUCAGUCCAUAGCACGUGAAUACACUUGCUGCCUACUAACUCCUUUGUUCUUACCCAGCCCCUACCUCAGUCUUUACUUAGCUUUUCUUGUUGAAUCAUUCAUUUCCCACAAAACAAUCUGCAACUGAUCUGGUGUUGACUUUGCACCCUGUUGUGUUUCUACCCAAAGAAUCCUUUUCCCAUCACACACAAUCACCUGAUUUACACAUUUGCCCAAUUAUUCAUUUAUCAAAAAUCAAGACCCUGGGCCUACCCUGUGCCAACACUGCUCUGGACACCGAGUCCAUGGUGGCAAACUGCAUGGCCUCUGUUGUCACAGAGCUUACUACAUUAGUGGAGACAGGUGGCCAACAAACAAAGGUAUACUUAUAAUUACAAAUUACACAAAGUGCUUUAAAAAAAAAAAGCAAGCUGCCAUAUGAGAGAAUAACAAAGAAGAUGAAAUUCAGUUUGGAGCCAGUCUAGGACAUGACACCAAUUCUAGAACUUAAAACAGGAGCAGGGCUAUCCAGGCAAAGGAGGGAGAGGAGUCUUUUUGGCAGAGCCCCACCUAUGGGAAGCCCAGAGAUAGAAAAGAAGUUGGAGUGUUUUAGGGAUUGAAAGAAAGGCAAUGUGACAGAGGCACCAAGAGAAUAGCAAUAAGAGAUGAAGAUAGGGACUGCAAGGGGAGGGGAGGUGAUGGCAGAAUAUCCAAAGCUUUCUGAAAAGGAAACCUACAGAAGGGUUUUAACAUGGGAGGGACAUGUUCUGACAUAUGUUUUAAAGUUCAUUUUGCUGUGGGAAGAAAGGAUUAGAGGCUGAUAAGAAUGGAAGCAGAAGGAGAAUAAUUAGAAAACUAUUGUUACGUUCCCAAGGAAUAAAGGUAGUUUGGACCAGGGUGAAGAUGUGUGAUGGAGAAGAUCAUAAAGUCUCUCUAGAGCUGGGCUCAGGUAAAAUGCACCCUUUGCCUGUUUUUGUGAAGUUUUAUUGCUACACGACCACUCUUGUUCAUGUCCAUAUUGUCUAUGGCCACUUUCUCUCUGGAAUGGGAGAGAUAAGUACUUACCACAGGGUAAGUAUUUUAAACUUUUCUUUGAUAUACAAUGGAAAUCUCUCUUUUGAUCAGCUUAAGGCCAAGUAAGGAGGACUUAAGAAGGACCACGGAAAAAUUGAAUGAAUGGGGAAUAAAGCAAAGCUGAAUUGCUACUGGAGUUAAAAGGAGUUACUGAUGGUGGAAAGAAGUCAGGCCCGCUGGUGUUUUACCAUAACAAAUAUCUGAAGUAAUCUCCAUACCUUCAGAUCUCCUUGUGGCUGCAAUAGCUCUUCAUAUGGAACUAGCCAUCUACCAAAUUAUUUCCUUUCUCAACAAACAUCACUCACAGCCCUAUUAUGACUGGAAGUCUUUUUAAUAAAACUGUCUGUGAAGAUUGCAAAAUAAACCUAUGGAGCAGCGUCCUCACUACUUCCAUCUGUUUUUCCACAAAUUUCUCUCCCUUUUCCACAGAGCAGGUUUGUAUUUCCAAGAAGGUGUAUCUUCAGGAGUUCUAAUAAAGAACAGCUGAAUGCAGCAAUCUUUGCCAUCAAUACAGCCAACCUUCAAGGAAUCACUUUUCACAAAUGAUCUGACGUGGAGUGUAUACAUAAACAUUAUCUAUGAAGACAAAAAAGGACAAGAAGAGCAGGUAUCUAUCUCAUGGCACACUGGACAGUGGGACUAGAAGAAGCAGAUUAUUCUGGGGGUCGACUUUGCAAAUGCAACACAUUAUUAGGGAAACUGGGAUCCAGUUACUGAGUGGCCUAAAUGACCAGAAAUCCCAAAGAUCCACCUAUUACUGUUGACAGAGAAGAAAAGUCAUGAAAGUUCCUUUCAGUCCUGUGACUGCUGGGCACUGAUUCUGCAUUCAAGAUGUGUUUCUAGAUGUGAGUGGCCAUACUUUAUUGCUUGUGGCUUAUGGAAUGGAUAACCUCCGUGGGCUCCAUUUCCUAAUCUUUAAGGUAAGAGGUCCUCUAGUUCUAAAAUUUUACGAAUUGACAAACCGCUAACUACAAGAUGAACACUCCAUAAAUACUAAGCCACAUUCUCCACAGUCACACAUCCCCAAAGUGAGGUAAAUUUCUUUUUCCAUAAAAAGGUGCCAGAGAUAGUGUAUCUUUGUUUCCAGCAUCUGUCCUGUGCAGGUGUACACGGUUCUCACCCAACUGGCUUCUAGUAAUCCUUGUAGUUGCCUCUUGUAUCCAUGUGUCAUAUGCCUCCUGUGACUGAUUAGUUAAUCUGUCUUUCUCUGUCUCACAUACUCUAUAAAUACACAAAAAGACAUAUAUAUGUACACAUAUGUACAUGUAUAUAAUUUUUUGGGCAUAAAAAGCAGCCGAAGUAUCCUCUUACUCUGAUUUUAGAGAUUAUAACUUUUAGGCUGAUUGGGGUGGGAUGGGAGGCAAAAAAAAUUGCUCAGGCAGGAUUCCGAUGCUACUAAUUACUCACCAAAAUAUGGAUAAGACCAUUUUUGUAAGCAAUGAAUUGGCUCAUUUAAAAUUCCUUUGUUUUCAUUUUUAGAAGAAAGAAAGAGGAAGAAGGAAGAAAGUCAAAAGGAUGAAACAACAAAAGGAGCUCCCCACAGAAAGACAGACUCUUUCGCCAGCACAUUUAAGAAUCUAAAUGAGGCCAAGUGCCAAGCAGAUAAAGGGACUCUACUUGCUGCACAGUAAAUAAAACGGAGGCAGGAGGACACCUGCAUCAAACAAUACUUUCUGAGGGGAUGACAACAAGAUUUCAGAGAAUUCAGAUCCUGACUUUCCUGCCUCACCAGGUACAACCCAAGUCACCAGAGCUCAUAAAAGAUGUGUGUGCUGUCGCAUCUAUGUGAAGUAUUUCCAUGACCCGAGCAUUGACCACAGGACUGUGCUGGAGGAAACUGGAUCAAGGUACCAAGACAGAUACAGGAGGGUCUCCAGAAACCCUAGAGCUGAAUGGAACCCGUCUGGAAAACAUACACUGGAAACUAGGCCGAGGAUUAUCCAAAGGGUGGUUGAAAUCAAGGGUUAAAGUUUGGCUCAAGAUAAGGAAGAAUCUUCUAAUAAUUAAAACUGACCAUCCAAAAGGUAA
rnacentral:lncRNA from 1 species